CCACGUUUCAAGCCUUGCCCCUAGAUGUUACACCCAGAAACCAGAGAAGCUACUAGGUUGGCGUCUUACAUUCCUAAGCUUCUCUGAGCUUUCUUAUCAAUGGUGGAUUCAUCUUCCCCAUUAUUGAAAUCUAUUAUCUCCUGAUUUAAUCAUCUUUCACAUGUUUAACAUCAGGGAAGCCAUUAAUCGUCUACUCUUAAUCAAUUCACUUAAACAACAAUGUAAAUUUGGGUUUUCCAACAUCAACCAAGCAAUCUCUACCUUCAAUCAAAUGACAUCCAUAGAUCCUUUUCUUACUUCCAUGGAUUUCAAUCAAAUCUUUACUGCAAUCUCCAAGAUAAAACCUCAACAAGUACAGCAUUAUUCCAUUAUUAUUACUCUUUCCAGGCAGCUGGAGUUAUCGGGCCUCCGACCCAAUAAGCAUUCUUUGGGCAUCCUCACCAACUGCUAUUGCCAUUUAGGUCGGGUUGAUUUCGCCUUUUCGCUCCUCGGUAAGCGUAUUAAGUUUGGAUUUGAGCCUGAUAUUGUGAUUUAUACUACUUUGAUCAAUGGACUUAUUGAUGCUAAUUAUGUUGAUCAAGCUGCUAAAAUGUUGGAUAAAAUUAUCAAAUUUGGGAUGCAACCUAAUAUUGUCACUUAUGGUGCAAUUGUUAAAGGUCUUUGUAGAACAGGAAAUAAUGUGGGUGCUAUUAAUUUGCUUAGGAAAAUGCAGUCUGAUGAGGUUUGCAAGCCUGAUGCUAUCAUAUAUACUUUGAUCAUUGAUAGUCUUUGUAAAGAGAAUUUGUUAUCUAAAGCACUUGAACUUUUUGAGGAGAUGCAAAGAGAAGGCUUAUCGCCUAAUGUUGUCACAUAUAGUUCUUUAAUUCGAGGAUGUUACAAUGGAGGAAGACGCGAGUGAGAUAUACAAUGAUUUGUUUUCAUGUUAGUUCUAAACCUGGGUUCGCAUAAAAUGAUAAAUGGUGAUGCUUGAGAAUGUCACAAGUUGUUUGAUUCGCUGGAAAUUGUUUUUAUGAUCAAAGGCGUGACGAUUCGUAGCUAAUGAAGGGUGGCUUCAAAGCUGUGAUGCGAUUUGUAAGCAUUGCUUGAUGGAUGUUGUAAGAGUGGAAUCACUUGUAUGGGCUAAAAGCAAUUCGUUUAUGGAACUAUUCUUACAGGCCUUAAUAUCUUAUUGGAUGGCUGUUGUAAGACUUGGUGACUUCAAGAAUCUGAGAAUGUCAAAUGUUCUCACCAAUCUCCCAUUUAAAGAUGCUUCACAUAGAGCAAAUAAAGAUCACGAAGAGGAUGCAAACGAGGAAACGGCACUAAUAUUGGGGCUCUGAUGUUAUUUUUUGUAUCAGCACUGGAAUCUGGAUAUCUAUCAAAACCAAAAAGGUCAACAUAAUAGAGUUAGUACUCUUCUAAAGUUCUAGUUGUAUCCGAGACAACUUGGUUGCUUGCACUUGUUAUUGAAAGCCUCGACUUGUGUUCCCAAGAGUUUCUCAUUUCACUCAAAAUUUUGAGUUUUGUUUUGGGGGGUGGGAGUUGUAAGUUACCCCUUAAUUCAAUAUUUGUGCACUGUAGGAGGUGAAUAGAUGUUGAAAAACAUAAAUCCCGAGGUGGAGACUUACAGGCUCACAUGAUGUUGAUAGAUAUGUAUUGCAAAGGAGUGGCUAGUCAAGCUAGCACUUUGUUUGAAAUUUGAAUCAAUGAUUGGGAAAGGUCACACUCCAAAUAUCAUCUCGUACAAGGCUUAAUGAAUGGUUGUUGAUCAUGUGGUGAAAUGGGCAAUGUGGUAAAGCUAUUGGCUUUGAUGUGAGAAGAUGACUGCAAAUAUCAUGUUAUCACUUUGCACAGCUUAACAAAGGAUAUCACGAGUCUAAAAAUGUUGACGAAGUUCUCCAUCUGCUUUAUCCGAGGCCUCCGAAAGGUUUAAACUCUCAUUCGCUUCCAACAGAUGUAUUCACUUAAAAAUUCAAUAGUAAUUUAUUAACCUACUUUUGGGUUAUGUUCAGUUUUUAGUUCCCAUUUCUUUGUUAGAAAUAUACUUCUAUUCAAUACCUUGGCGUAGUUUGAUUGUAGUCAAAGUAUGUCGAUUGCCAUUGUUUGUUCACUUGGAAAGAUAAUUAUUUUUGUUUAGAUUACUCUAAUUUUAUCA